rnacentral:rRNA from 1 species
GACGAACGCUGGCGGCGUGCUUAACACAUGCUAGUCGAACGGAAAGGCUCUGCUUUUGUGGGGUGCUCGAGUGGCGAACGGGUGAGUAACACGUGAGUAACCUGCCCUUGACUUUGGGAUAACUUCAGGAAACUGGGGCUAAUACCGGUUAGGAGCUCCUGCUGCAUGGUGGGGGUUGGAAAGUUUCGUCGGUUUGGGUUGGACUUGCGGUGUAUCAGCUUGUUGGUGGGGUAGUGGCUUACCAAGGCUUUGACGGGUAGCCGGCCUGAGAGGGUGACCGGCCACAUUGGGACUGAGCUACUGCCCAGACUCCUACGGGAGGCAGCAGUAGGGAAUAUUGCACAAUGGGCGGAAGCCUGAUGCAGCAACGCCGCGUGCGGGAUGACGGCCUUCGGGUUGUAACCCGCUUUCGCCUGUGACGAAGCGUGAGUAACGGUAAUGGGUAGAGAAGCACCGGCUAACUACGUG